AGUUCUGAGUGGCUCACGGGAUGAACGCUGGCGGAAGCGAUUGCCUUAAUACAUGCAAGUCGGACGAAAUUAAGCUUUGCUUUCAUUCUUAGCGGCAGACUGAGUAGUAACACGUGGCAUGCCUGCAUGACUUGGAUAGCCUCGAACGGAAGUAUUACCGGAUAAUCUUGGAGUCAUGGCUGCUCUUAAAGUAAAGUUGGUUCUUUAUGUUUUUCGCCAGGAUGGGCCCGCGGCGCAUUGGCUAGUUGGUAAGGGUAAUGGCCUACCAAGGCGACGAUGCGUAGCCGACCUGAAGGGUGAUCGGCCACACACUGGGACUGAGACGUCACCACGGGCAGCAGUAGGAAUCUUCCGCAGGAAUCUUCCAAUGGACGGUCUGACGGAGCAACGCCGCGUGAACGAUGAAGGCCUUCGGGUCGUAAAGUUCUGUUGUUAGGGAAGAACAAGUACCGUUCAAAUAGGUCGGUACCUUGACGGUACCUAACGAGAAAGCCACGGCUAACUACGUGCCAGCAGCCGCGGUAAUACGUAGGUGGCAAGCGUUGUCCGGAAUUAUUAGCAGGCGCGCGCGCAGGCGGUUUCUUAAGUCUGAUGUGGAAAGCCCCCCCGGCUCAACCGGGAGGGUCAUUGGAAACUGGGGAACUUGAGUGCAGAAGAGGAGAGUGGAAUUCCAUGUGUAGCGGUGAAAUGCGUAGAUAUAUGGAGGAACACCAGUGGCGAAGGCGACUCUCUGGUCUGUAACUGACGCUGAGGUGCGAAAGCGUGGGGAGCAAACAGGAUUAGAUACCCGGUAGUCCACGCCGUAAACGAUGAGUGCUAGGUGUUAGGGGUUUCGAUGCCCUUAGUGCCGAAGUUAACACAUUAAGCACUCCGCCUGGGGAGUACUAAUCGCAAGGUUGAAACUCAGCGAAAUUCUGACGGGGCCCGCACAAGCAGUGGAGCAUGUGGUUUAAUUCGAAGCAACGCGAAGAACCUUACCAGGUCUUGACAUCCUUAUGACAUCCCUAGAGAUAGGGUUUUCCCCUUCGGGGACAUAAGUGACAGGUGGUGCAUGGUUGUCGUCAGCUCGUGUCGUGAGAUGUUGGUUAAGUCCCGCAACGAGCGCAACCCUUGAUCUUAUUGCCAGCAUUCAGUUGGGCACUCUAAGGUGACUGCCGGUGACAAACCGGAGGAAGGUGGGGAUGACGUCAAAUCAUCAUGCCCCUUAUGACCUGGGCUACACACGUGCUACAAUGGAUGGUACAAAGGGCCGCGAGACCGCGAGGUUAAGCCAAUCCCAUAAAGCCAUUCUCAGUUCGGAUUGUAGGCUGCAACUCGUCAGCAUGAAGCCGGAAUUGCUGGUAAUCGCGGAUCAGCAUGCCGCGGUGAAUAAUGUUCUCGGGCCUUGUACACACCGCCCGUCACACCACGAGAGUUUGUAACACCCGAAGUCGGUGGGGUAACGCAAUUUGCGAGCCAGCCGCCUAAGGUGGGACAGAUGAUUGGGGUGAAGUCGUAACAAGGUAGCCGUAUCGGAAGGUGCGGCUGGUCUUCACCUUU
rnacentral:rRNA from 1 species